CUCAUGGUUUCACGGUAUUGCAAUGAGAACAAUUUAAAACCCUUAGCGAGAAUCAAGUGGAGGACAAGUCUGGUGCCAGCACCCGCGGUAAUUCCAGCUCCACUAGCGUAUAUUAAAGUUGUUGCAGUUAAAAAGCUCGUAGUUGAACCUCUGUCUGGGGCUAGUUUUGGCUUUGGUCAGGCUAGUUCUAGGCAUCCGCCUACAAGACUUAGAGGGCAUUCAGUUGUUCACUAGGAGGAGUAGGCAUUUUACUUUGAAAAGAUUAGAGUGUUUAAGGCAGGCAAUCGCCCGCAUAUAUUAGCAUGGAAUAAUAGAAUAGGACACUUUUCCAUUUCGUUGGUUAUUGGAAUCGUGUAAUGAUUUAUAGGGACAGUUGUGGGCAUUUGUAUUUAAUUGUCAGAGGUGAAAUUCUUGGAUUUAUUAAAGACAAACUAACGCGAAAGCAUUUGCCAAGGAUGUUUUCAUUAAUCAAGAACGAAAGUUAGGGGAUCAAAGACGAUCAGAUACCGUCCUAGUCUUAACUAUAAGCUAUUCCGACUCAAUGUUUGACUGGCUUAUAUAACCAGUUGAGCGUUGUAUGAGAAAUCAAAGUCUUUAGGUUCUGGGGGGAGUAUGGUUGCAAAGCUGAAACUUAAAGGAAUUGACGGAAGAGCACAACCAGGAGUGGAUUCUGCGGCUUAAUUUGACUCAACACGGGGAAACUUACCAGGUUAAAACAAUAGUGGGAUUGACAGUUUGAGAGCGCUUUCUUGAUUGGUUGGGUGGUGGUGCAUGGCCGUUCUUAGUUGGUGGAGUGAUUUGUCUGCUUAAUUGCGUCAACGAACGAGACCUUAACCUGCUUACUAGACUGGCGAUCAUCAAUCGUUAGCUCUUCUUAGAGGGACUUUGGUUGUUUUAACUCCAAGGAAGUUUGAGGCAAUAACAGGUCUGUGAUGCCCUUAGAUAUCCUGGGCCGCACGCGUCAUACAAUGACUAGUUCAGAAAGUUUUCUCCUGACCCGAAAGGGGAUGGGUAAUCUUGAUAAUACUAGUCGUGUUAGGGAUCGAUCUUUGCAAUUAUAGAUCUUGAACGAGGAAUUCCUAGUAAGUGCGGUUCAUCAGACCGUACUGAUUACGUCCCUGCUCUUUGUACACACCGCCCGUCCUUCUACCGAGUGGGUGGUCCGGUGAGAUAAUUGAACUUCGCAGGUAACUGAGAGGAAAGAUUAUCAAACCUAUCCACCU
rnacentral:rRNA from 1 species